rnacentral:rRNA from 1 species
UUAGUUGCCAUCAUUCAGUUGGGCACUCUAGCGAGACUGCCGGUAAUAAACCGGAGGAAGGUGGGGAGUGACGUCAAAUCAUCAUGCCCCUUAUGACCUGGGCUACACACGUGCUACAAUGGUUGGUACAACGAGUUGCGAGUCGGUGACGGCGAGCUAAUCUCUUAAAGCCAAUCUCAGUUCGGAUUGUAGGCUGCAACUCGCCUACAUGAAGUCGGAAUCGCUAGUAAUCGCGGAUCAGCACGCCGCGGUGAAUACGUUCCCGGGCCUU